UACGUAGGGGGCAAGCGUUGUCCGGAUUUAUUGGGCGUAAAGAGCGUGUAGGCGGCCGCACAGGUCCGUUGUGAAAACUGGAGGCUUAACCUUCAGACGUCGAUGGAAACCGUGCGGCUAGAGUCCGGAAGAGGAGAAUGGAAUUCCUGGUGUAGCGGUGAAAUGCGCAGAUAUCAGGAGGAACACCGGUGGCGAAGGCGGAUCUCUGGGCCUUACCUGACGCUGAGGCGCGAAAGCCAGGGGAGCGAACAGG
rnacentral:rRNA from 1 species